GCCCGAGGAUGAGUCUGCGGCCUAUCAGGUAGUAGUCAGGGUCAAGACCUGACUAGCCAGCGACGGGUACGGGGCGUGAGAGAGGUCGCCCAGAGAUGGACUCUGAGACACGAAACCAGGCCCUACGGGGCGCAGCAGGCGCGAAAACUUCGCAAUGCAGGAAACUGUGACGAGGGAACUCCGAGUGUCCAUGCAUUGCAUGGACUGUUUGCCAGCCUAAAAAGCUGGUAGAGUAAGGGGUGGGCAAGACCGGUGCCAGCCGCCGCGGUAACACCGGCACCUCGAGUGGUAGCCACUAUUAUUGGGCCUAAAGCGUUCGUAGCCGGCUUGGUUAAUUCCUGGGUAAAUCGUACCGCUCAACGGUGCGGAUUCCGGGGACACUGCCAGGCUUGAGACCGGGGGAGAUCAGAGGUACUUGCGGGGGAGCGGUGAAAUGUUGUAAUCCCGCAGGGACCACCAAUGGCGAAGGCGUCUGAUCAAAACGGCUCUGACGGUGAGGGACGAAACCCUGGGGCGCAAACGGGAUUAGAUACCCCGGUAGUCCAGGGCGUAAACGCUGCUGACUUGGUGUUGGGGACCCUACGAGGGAUGUCCAGUGCCGGCGCGAAGGUAUUGAGUGCAGCCGCCUGGGGAGUACGGUCGCAAGACUGAAACUAAAGGAAUUGGCGGG
rnacentral:rRNA from 1 species